rnacentral:antisense_RNA from 1 species
AGCUGCCGGCGUUGCCCUCUCCCAAGAUGGCGGCCAGGUCGCCUGCUCGGGCCUCCCAGGCGACUUUGCCCCACUGCGCCCGCGCUCUCUUCUCCUUUCCAUUUCUGGACCAAGGGGCUGCCAUAAGGAGUCUGUGACUAGAGAUGGGAGGUGGUGGCCACGGCCUCUCGCUGUAUGCUGUGUGGAAGGUCGAAUCAUCAUCAUCAUAAAACUUAAUAUUGCCCUUAUGUGCCAGGAACUACUAUCUCAGCAAUGGAGAUGUGGUGCUUGGCCGCAAUCGUGAAUCGGCCCUGGAGGGGACACAGGAAGGGGCUGCCUGCGACUCAUGACCUCCUGCGUGCCUGCCUGCUGACCUAUGACCCUUCAAGUUCCCACCCCUCAGCCACGCCUGUGAGGAGGGUCUUGUUUUGUCACCUACGCUGGAGUGCAGUGGUGUGAUCACAGCUCACUGCAGCCUCAACUUCCUGGACUCAAGCGAUUUUCCUGCCUCAACCUCCCAAGAACUAGGACCCCAGGUGCAUGCCACUACACCAGGCUAAUUUGUUGUAGAGAGGAGGUCUUGCUAUGUUGCCCAGGCUGGUCUCGAACUCCUGUGCCCAAAAGAUCCUCCCACCUCAGCCUCCCAACAUGCCAGGAUUACAGGCAUGAGCCACCCUGCCCAGCUCAAUAACCUAAGUUCUAUGAAUGAAAACCAUGACUGCCUGUGGAGUGAGGGGGCCGUCAGGCUGGUGGGGAGCUGGGUGAAGACCCAGCCAGCCCAGGCCAGCUCAGGUGACCUAAUCCCCCCAGCUCCCACUUCCCCCUCCCCAAGUGGUUUGGCCGCAGAAUAAGAACAGUGCUGGGGGUGCUGAAAGAGGGGACGCAAGGCUGGGGCAAUGCAGUGGGACCCGGGGGUGUCAGGACAAGCAAGCAGCCCUUACCAUGUCUGUGUAGAUCUCGAUUGCUCGCAUCAAACAGUUAAUGGCCUCUGGAGAGAAAGGGAGGUGGGAGGAGACAUGAGAAAGUGAAGUCGUUUCAGCAGAAGCCGAGGAGAGGAGGCGGACGCAGGCGCACCUGGCUGCCAGCAGAGAGAUCAAUAGGCACUCAGAGCUGCCAGCGCUGCCACACACUCUCAAGGGGCUGGGAAGAAGGGGACGGAAUCCCUGAGCCCCAGGAAAUCUGGUGAGAGGGCUGACUCUGCAGACUGUGACUUGCUGGGCACAUGCUUCUGGGGGAGCCCUUCUCUCCUCGGGCUGCCAGGAUGCUACCAGCUUCCCACAACCCCAGGGACAGGGCACAGCAGUGCUAGGCCAGGAUGAUGGCCAGACUCCCACGGGUGUUUUAAGACAGACCUGCCAAGGCCCUGCUCUUGAAGGACUGAGCUGCUGGCAAAGGGGAAGGAGGCAUGGGAGGCGGCCAAGCCAGCAUCUCAGGUGGUCUUGGAGGCAACAGGGGUGCCAGGUUCUACCUGGGCUCUGCCACCAUCUCUGCAGGAUCCUGAGCAGCUUCUGUUCCUGCACCAGGAGGACCUGGACCUCUGGCACGAGGAGGCUGGAUGUCAUCAACACUGAGCCCUCAGUGUGCUCUCCACUGCCCCCUCUUCCUCGUAGCUCAGCAGUCGGGAGCCCUCUGCUCAGUCCCUUUAACCUAGUCCUGCCACCCACCAGCUCCUCAAAGGUUUUGCCAAAAAACCUGAACACACCAGGAUGGCACUGAGGAAGAACUGGGCUACCUUUGUUGUACUAUCUCUUGCAAGAUUUUAAAUUUGGGAAAGGC